AAAUGUGUGUUUCUUUAGGUUCAUGGUACAGAAGAAGGGUCAGACUACCACCAGGGUCAUAAAACUACCCCUGGAAAUGCCCAAAACUCCUACGAAAGCCUUGGCAAAUGUGUGUUUCUUUAGGUUCAAGGUACAGAAGAAGGGUCAGACUACCACCAGGGUCAUAAAACUACCAAUGCAAAUCCCCACAACUCCCACGAAAGUCUUGUCAAUUGUGUGCUUGGCUGUGUACUGGCCAUUGCAUACUCUCUCCUAUUCUUUUAUUUCCUCAGUUUCGUGUCUCUUAAUAACAUAUAAAGAAAAAACACAAAAAAAUUAGGACAGCAGGAUAAAAUUUCGUCCUUCUUAUCAUUUUCUUCUAUCUUUUUUUUGUUUCUUAAGUCAAUAAAUUUUCCGCUGCAUAUUUUUUUUUCUCUCAAUUUCCAGCUUCUCAAUAAAUAUGUCAGGAGAGAAAACAAAAGAGAGACAGAACAGCAGAAGGGGAGUUUCGAGACCAACCUCUCAAUCCGGAAUCUCUCUCUCUCUCUCUCUCUCUCUCUCUCUCUCUCUCUCUCUCU